ACCCUUCCAUGUAAAACACCUUCAGUCCUUCUUACAUUAGUACAGUAAGUCUCAAAUUCACCAGUUACUGAACAGCUGAUAAUGUUUCCCUGUAUUAUUUUGGGAGGAAAGCGGGGUGGGCGGCGCAACUCGUUCUUCUGUUUAUCAUAGGAGGUCCACGAGUCGAACACGGCUUCAGUUUUGUCUCGAACACCAUAGUGUGUGAAGCACUAGUGAAGGCAGGUAUUUUGGCGUCGCCGACAGCUUCCAGUCUACCUCCCAGCUUCCUGAAGGGCUUCAGUGACAGGAACGCAACCACUGCCUGCGAAGGAGCAUCGGUGGAGGGACGGAGCAGCAGCAAAAGAUGUCAAAUCAGAAACUGCUCAGGUGGUGGGACGGAGGAGCAGCAAAGGAUGUCAAACCAGAAACUGGGACGGAGGAGCUGCAGAGUCAAAACAGAAACUGCUCAGGUAUACAGGUGAAUUGGAUGAGAGAAUCAGCAGGGAGGAGGAGGAAAAAGUGUGAAAAGGCAGAAGAAUGGGAAGGCAGCAAGGCCAGAUGAGAUACCCUACGAGAUGUAUAAAAAUAAAGAGGAAGUUGUGAUUGACAGGAUGAUUGAGGUGUGGGAGGAGAAGAGAGUGCCUUGAAUGUGGAAUGAAUGCAGAGUGACUGCUGCAUAAGGGAGAAUAAGUAAGAAUGAGUUGAAUUAUAGGCUAAUUGCGUUAGUGAACACAGUGAGUAAAGUGUUCAGUGCAGUGUUGAAGGAGAGAUUGUGUAAAUGGAUUGAGAGAGCUGGAAUGCAGUGCUUGGUGAGGAACAAAAUGGGUUCCGUGUGGACAGGAGGGCUGUAGAUAAUAUGUUUGUGGUCAAUUAAAUGAUUGAGAUUAGAAAAAGAGGUAUGGAGGGAAAUUGUACUUAGGUUUCCUGGAUAUAGAGAAAGCUUAUGGUAGGGCGAAUAGGGAAGUGCUAAGCAAGGUUUCCUGGAUAUAGAGAAAGCUUAUGGUAGGCGAAUAGGGAAGUGCUAAGCAGAGUCUUAGAAAAGAUUGGGUUGAAUGCAAAGAUAGCCAACAUAGUACGUAGCAUGUAGACAAGAGAAGUAGACAGAUUAGGGGAUAUAGAAACAGACUGGGUGAAGAGUGAGGCAGGAGUUAGGUAAGGAUGUAUAUUGGGUGAAGAGUGAGGCAGGAGUUAGGUAAGGAUGUAUAUUAUCACCAGCCCAUUCCAGCUUGUAUACAGAGGAGUUAGCAGCUAGAAUGAGAAGAAUGAAUGCAGGAAUAAGUGUGGGGAAUUUUUAUUUUUUUAUUCAGAUGUAGAAGUUAUGAGUUUAGUUGUGAGUGAAUCACCAGAUGAGCUCCAAGGUUUGCUGGGUAUGGAAGAAUCUUUUGAGUUAGGUUUAGCAGUUUAGCAGUGAGAAAAUGUAAUGAUUUUGAAUAGGUCUAGCAGUUUAGCAGUGAGAAAAUGUAAUGAUUUUGAAUAGGUCAGACAGAGGAUGAAGGUUUAGCAGUGAGAAAAUGUAAUGAUUUUGAAUAGGUCAGACAGAGGAUGAAAGUAAUCUGGUAUGGAGAAUUGGCGAGGUUAAAUGAAAUGGGCACAAGAAUACAAGUACUUAGAGAGAGAUGAUGAGAGGAGAGAUGAAAGAGUAUGAUGAAAGUGAGUGUAUGACGUGAGUGUAUGACGUGUUGGGAAGUGUGGAAGAGCAUGGCUGUGCCGAGUAUAAAUGUAUGGUAUAUAUAUAGUAGAUACGAUUGAUUGCAUGGAACGAAAGUGAAAUUUGAUAAAUUAGAUAAAUUAGAAGUAGGGUAGAUUAGAGUAGCUAGUAGGAUGGCACUGAAUGCACGUAGGUACACAGCAGUAGCAGCUUUGAGAGGGGAUAUUGAUAUGGGAUGGAGCUUCUUUAGGGAAAGACUUACAAAAGCGAUUCUUAGGUACAAGAUUAGACUUGAAAGAAUGAAUGAUGGAAGUGUGGAAUGAACGUGAAAUAGCAAGAAAGGUGUAUUAUCUGUGGAAUGGUGUAUCUGUGGAAUAUGAAAGUGGAAGCAGGAAGCAAAUGGAGAGGAGUUGAGAACGAGAAAAGGGAGUUCAGAAAGAGAAAAGAGGAUUUUGUGGGGGAUGAGAAGUUGUGUGUGGAGGAUGGGAAUGGCAGGGGUGGCUGGUGUGUGGGGGGAUGGGGAUGAGAAUAGCUGGGGUGAAAAUCUAAAUGACUGUAGAGACGAGACGAAUACUACUAACGUGGUGACUAAUGACGAAUACUGUGUAUAGUGUCUGUAGUGACGAAUGACCAAUACUGUGUAGAGAGAGCUUUGCAGAGCUCGUUUGAGGCUGUAAGAGGCUACUUUUAGUAAUGUAUAGUGAGGCUGUGAGAAUGGCAAGUAAGUUUUCAGAUUUGGUUACAGGAGUUGAUCUUGCGUGGCCUUCUGUUCAGGCGUGAUCUCGAGCCAACACCUGUAGGCCAACACCUGUAGCAGCAGCAGCUGCUGAGGGGCUAGCAGAAGGGCUUGCCAUUCCUGAAUUAGCCAGCAUAAAAAGGCAACCGAGGCAGCUUACUGAGAAGUCCAGGAUUUCGGAAUUUCAACUGAGCUAUGUCAAACCAAGUAAUAAUAAUAAUACCACCUUACUUUGUAGUAGCAAUAAGUGUUUUUAUACAAUACUCCGAAGACUCUCCGGAGAUACACUGCACGCAUUUGGUAGCAGCAAUACAGGUUUUACAAAUAAAUAAUACUCCGAAGACUCUCCGGAGAAACACAACACGCAUUUGGGAGAACAAAAUUUAUAAAAAAAUAAAAUAAAAUGAAUAAACCAUAAAUAUAUAUUGAGUUGUGGAGUCUAGGACUUAAACAAUUGCAGCUCAUGUACCAGCAUCACAGCUUGCUCACAUCGAGUCUUAACACACUUAAGGGGGGA